AGAGUUUGAUCCUGGCUCAGGAUGAACGCUAGCGGCAGGCUUAACACAUGCAAGUCGAGGGGCAGCGGGGAGGAAGCUUGCUUUCUCCGCCGGCGACCGGCGCACGGGGUGAGUAACACGUAUGCAACCUGCCCCUGUCAGGGGGGACAACCCGCCGAAAGGCGGGCUAAACCCGCGUACAUGCCACCGGGGCAUCCCGGAGGCAGGAAAGGCUUCGGCCGGACAGGGAUGGGCAUGCGGCGCAUUAGGCAGUAGGCGGGGUAACGGCCCACCUAACCGACGAUGCGUAGGGGUUCUGAGAGGAAGGUCCCCCACACUGGUACUGAGACACGGACCAGACUCCUACGGGAGGCAGCAGUGAGGAAUAUUGGUCAAUGGUCGGGAGACUGAACCAGCCAAGCCGCGUGAGGGAGGAAGGUACAGAGUAUCGUAAACCUCUUUUGUCAGGGAACAAAGGCGGGGACGUGUCCCCGGAUGAGUGUACCUGAAGAAAAAGCAUCGGCUAACUCCGUGCCAGCAGCCGCGGUAAUACGGAGGAUGCGAGCGUUAUCCGGAUUUAUUGGGUUUAAAGGGUGCGCAGGCGGUCUGUUAAGUCAGCGGUCAAAGCCCGGGGCUCAACCCCGGCCCGCCGUUGAAACUGGCAGUCUCGAGUUGGAGAGAAGUAUGCGGAAUGCGCGGUGUAGCGGUGAAAUGCAUAGAUAUCGCGCAGAACUCCGAUUGCGAAGGCAGCAUGCCGGCUCCACACUGACGCUGAGGCACGAAAGCGUGGGUAUCGAACAGGAUUAGAUACCCUGGUAGUCCACGCAGUAAACGAUGAAUGCUGGCUGUCCGGGGGGAUUGACCCCUGGGUGGCGAAGCGAAAGCGAUAAGCAUUCCACCUGGGGAGUACGCCGGCAACGGUGAAACUCAAAGGAAUUGACGGGGGCCCGCACAAGCGGAGGAACAUGUGGUUUAAUUCGAUGAUACGCGAGGAACCUUACCCGGGCUCAAACGUAGAAUGACAGACGGUGAAAGCCGUUCUCCCUUCGGGGCAGUCUACGAGGUGCUGCAUGGUUGUCGUCAGCUCGUGCCGUGAGGUGUCGGCUUAAGUGCCAUAACGAGCGCAACCCCCAUCUACAGUUGCUAACAGGUAAAGCUGAGGACUCUGUGGAGACUGCCGGCGCAAGCUGUGAGGAAGGCGGGGAUGACGUCAAAUCAGCACGGCCCUUACGUCCGGGGCGACACACGUGUUACAAUGGCAGGUACAGCGGGAAGCCAUAUGGCGACAUAGAGCGGAACCCGAAAACCUGUCUCAGUUCGGAUUGGAGUCUGCAACUCGACUCCAUGAAGCUGGAUUCGCUAGUAAUCGCGCAUCAGCUACGGCGCGGUGAAUACGUUCCCGGGCCUUGCACACACCGCCCGUCA
rnacentral:rRNA from 1 species